rnacentral:rRNA from 1 species
UGAGGAAUAUUGGUCAAUGGGCGAGAGCCUGAACCAGCCAAGUAGCGUGCAGGAUGACGGCCCUAUGGGUUGUAAACUGCUUUUAUGUGGGGAUAAAGUGCGUGACGUGUCAUGCAUUGCAGGUACCACAUGAAUAAGGACCGGCUAAUUCCGUGCCAGCAGCCGCGGUAAUACGGAAGGUCCGGUCGUUAUCCGGAUUUAUUGGGUUUAAAGGGAGCGUAGGCUGUCUAUUAAGCGUGUUGUGAAAUAUACCGGCUCAACCGGUGGCUUGCAGCGCGAACUGGUCGACUUGAGUAUGCAGGAAGUAGGCGGAAUUCAUGGUGUAGCGGUGAAAUGCUUAGAUAUCAUGACGAACUCCGAUUGCGCAGGCAGCUUACUGUAGCAUAACUGACGCUGAUGCUCGAAAGUGCGGGUAUCAAACAGG